AGCGGGUUUCCGGUUCCGGGAGCAACGAACGGCCGCGGCAGCGACAGCUACCGCUUCAGAGGAAGCGUCUGCGGAGGAGGAAGAAGAGCAGGGCAAGGCGGGAGUCACAGGCGGGACCCUCGGCAUGGGUCCACGGACCUAGAGCGGCGGAAGCUACCGGCCCGGUGCCAAGCUGGCCGCUGCUCCUUCCCAUGGCCCCCAUGGCUGAGGACUGGCUGGAUUGCCCAGCCUUGGGCCCUGGCUGGAAGCGCCGUGAGGUCUUUCGAAAAUCAGGUGCCACCUGUGGACGCUCAGACACCUAUUACCAGAGCCCCACAGGAGACAGGAUCCGAAGCAAAGUUGAGCUGACCCGAUACCUGGGCCCUGCGUGUGACCUCACCCUCUUCGACUUCAAACAAGGCAUUCUGUGCUAUCCAGCCCCUAAGGCCCCGUCCUUAGAUGUCCCUGGCAGGAAGCGGAAGAAGCCUUCACGGCCAGCCAAGACUCAGAAACGUCAGGUUGGACCCCAGAAGGGUGAAGUCAGGAAGGAGGCCCCAGGAGAUGAGACCAAGGCUGUUGCUGACACAGCUCUAGCUUCACUCCCUGCACCUGGGUGCUGUGAAAACUGUGGAAUCAGCUUCUCAGGAGAUGGUACCCGAAGACAGCGGCUCAAGACGUUAUGCAAGGACUGCCGAGCGCAGAGAAUUGCUUUCAAUAGGGAGCAAAGGAUGUUUAAGCGUGUGGGCUGCGGGGAGUGUGCGGCCUGCCAGGUAACCGAGGACUGUGGGGCCUGCUCCACCUGCCUUCUGCAGCUGCCCCAUGAGGUGGCCUCGGGGCUGUUCUGCAAAUGUGAGCGGAGACGGUGCCUCAGGAUUGUGGAAAGGAGCCGAGGGUGUGGAGUGUGCCGGGGCUGUCAGACACGAGAGGACUGUGGCCAUUGUCGAGUCUGCCUUCGCCCUCCCCGCCCUGGUCUCAGGCGCCAGUGGAGGUGCGUCCAGCGGCGCUGCUUACGGCACCUUGCCCACCGUCUCCGUCGCCACCAUCAGCGAUGUCAACGACGUCCUCCCCUAGCCGUGGCUCCCCCUGCUGGUAAACGUAGCCGCCGUAGAGGAGGCUGUGACUCCAAGAUGGCUGCCCGGCGGCGCUCCCGAACCCAGCCACUGCCUCCAGUUCCCCCAUCACAGCCUCCAGAGUCCCCAGAGCUGCACCCCAGAGCCCUGGCCCCCUCGCCACCUGCCGAGUUCAUCUAUUACUGUGUAGACGAGGACGAGCUACAGCCUUACACGAACCGCCGGCAGAACCGCAAGUGUGGGGCCUGUGCCGCCUGCCUACGCCGGAUGGACUGUGGUCACUGCGACUUCUGCUGUGACAAGCCCAAAUUUGGGGGCAACAACCAGAAGCGCCAGAAGUGUCGUUGGCGCCAAUGCCUACAGUUUGCCAUGAAGCGGCUGCUGCCUAGCGUCUGGGCAGGAUCUGAGGAUGGGGCAGGGCCACCACCAUCUUACUCUCGUCGAAAGAGACCUGGUUCUACUCGACGGCCUCGUCUGGGCCAGAUACUGAAGACCUCCUUGACUACACCCACAGCCCUAUCAGGCUGUGCCCAGACUCCAGUGAAACAGGAAACGGACAGUGGCUUUGUGCUCCCCCCACCUGGCACCGACCUUGUGUUCUUACGGGAAGGUGCAGGCAGUCCUGUGCAGGUGCCUGGCCCUGCUGCAACUUCCACAGAAGCCCUGUUGCAGGAGGCCCAGUGCCCUGGCCUGAGUUGGGUUGUGGCCUUACCCCAGGUGAAGCAAGAGAAGGCGGAUGCCCAGGAAGACUGGACACCGGGCACAGCCAUCCUGACUUCUCCUGUAUUGCUGUCUGGCUGCCCCAGCAAGGCAGUAGACCCAGGCCUGCCACCUGUGAAGCAAGAGCCACUGGACCCUGAGGAGGACAAGGAGGAAGAGAACAAGGAUGAUUCCGCCUCCGACUCGGCCCCAGAGGAGGAGGCAGGAGGGGCUGGCACACCCGUGAUCACGGAGAUUUUCAGCCUGGGUGGAACCCGCCUCCGGGACACAGCAGUCUGGUUGCCAAGUCUGCAGGGCAGGCAAUCAGGAAGGGAAGAUGGAUAUAAAGUGUGGGAGACGGAGGACACUUUGGCGUGCACGAGAACGAGCUGGAACCAGCGAGGAUGGCCUAGAACCCAUGUCAGUGUCUCACCACCUCCAACUUCGAUGAUGUGGGUGUCCUGCAGAAGAAGCUGGUGCCCUUCAUCACAGAGUUAAAUACUCAUCUGGUCCAGGAAUUAGAGAAGCUGGAGGAAGAUCCCAGGGAAAGUGGAGCAGCUGCAGGCCUGGCUGCAGGCCUCACUGCUGCCCACACCCAACGAGGCUACGUAAACUCUUAGCAGUAAAUGAAAAUGAGUAUUUUACCGAACUGCAAUUGAAAGAAGAAGCAUUAUAGGAGAAAAAAAAGACAAAAUGAGAAUUAUUAAAAGAGAUUAUUAAAAAGAAAAAAGAGACAUUAUUUUGUGGCUGAAAAGCUGAACCAGCAAUUCAGGAAACGGAAUCCAAAUGUAGAAGCGUACCGCAUACAAAAUCCGAAGUGGGUGGAUUACAAAUGAUUGAGGAAUGCUAAUUUACAGUAAAUUACGGCCCUGCGACGGUAUACACAGUAGAUGUACUUCGGUUAUUGUUAGAUGUCAGUGACUGACUAGGUUCCGAAUUUUUUCUAUGCGCUAGUGUGUGCUCGCCCCCACUUUAGAAGGAGAGUACCAAAGCGUCAUUCUUUAUUGGUUUUUAGUUACUGGUCUUGGUCUUGACCUUGGUCUUGGUCUUGACCAGAAAGUACCGCUGUGGACUCCACCUGUGCCAAGGGCCCCUUCUAGGUUCCCUGAGCUGUGUUGCCUGGUCCUUUCCUCGGAUACGGAUUCUCAGGGCCUCAUUACCUGCGCUUCUCAUCCGUGUCCUGACCCUGGUUUACUGUGAACGGUAACUCAGACUCUUGAUCUUUAUUUUGCCCAGCCAGGUCAUGUCAUUGCCCUCUUAGCCCAUCUGACUUGUCCCCCAUUCUAGGGUAUCUGGAGUCAGCUCUGGUUUCUGCCCAAUGCAGUAGGAAGAUUUUAUUUGUAAUAGAUUUAUCAUUACUGAUUUGGGUGGGCUGAUAAGACAGGCUCUCCAGGCCUUGUUUUAGCUGGAAAAUGAGGAUAAUAAUGCCUGCUGCAUCAACCAACCCUCUAAGAUAUUUGUGAGGUCCAAAGGUUUUAUGUGUGGAAAUACCUUGCAAGUUACUGUAAAGAACACAAGUAUAAGGUGGUUUGUCCUGUGAUGAUUAUUACCAUCAUCAAGAUUCACCUAGAAAUGGCCGCAAAAUGUAACCUUCCCGCAGAAGAUCCACUAACUUUUCUCAUACUUUUAGGCCGAUUUCAGGAUAUAAUAGCAGUCAGUUGGAAUGUAAUUAGAUCUUCGCCUUCACUUCGGGUUAAGGAGGCUUAUUUCUGCUAUUCUGAUGAACUCUAGAGGAAGGGAGCAAGGUCGCCGGAGGCCUGGCCAAGGGCGGGGUGAGGACCGCGCAGACUCAGCUCCUCCGCUCUGGGAGGAAGUUACGAGCACCAGCGUCUGUGGUCACCAUGGUGACGGGACCGACUUCGGCCCCUCCCACCUGCCCCUCACCCUGCAGGGUGCACCAUGGCAACCAGACGUCUGCAUUGCGGAAGCUGGCCCCCGCAGGUCUCCACGGUUGGGAAACUGGCGGACGCCGCCCCCAUCCCGAGGGACUCAAAAUGUACAGCCAGCGAUUUGGCAUCGUACAGCGGGAGGUUAAGGGCCCCACUCCCAAAGUGGUGAUCGUAGUAAGCGCGGGCUGUGUGUGCGGGACCCUACCGCUUUCUGCCUCUCCCUGCACUCCAGGCCCAGCCCAGCCCAAACUGGCCCCAGCGCGGGGCGCUCUCUAGGGGAGCAGGUGCCUGAUGCCCGGGGUUUAAUUUUGAAAGGGAAAGCUAAGACCACUCAUCUGGCUCCUGUACUUUGUUCCUCAACCCCCUAACCUCUACUCUCCCACCCCCACCUUGCAUCAGUUAUAUUUAGAUGCUGCAUUUGUAGAAUCACCACUUGGGAUACUGAGACUUUUCAGUCUCCAAGAUACCCGAAGGAGGUCUCUCCCCUUGUGAUGUGGUGUGGCUGUCACAGAAAGGGCGCUUGGCUGGGGUGGCGCAGGAAAUCAGGUCUGGGCUGGUGGUGAUUCAGCUGUAUGAUCUUGCGCUGGUCCUGCAUUCCCAGGGAAAUCAUAGGAGGAAGGGGAAUUGGACUGUGAGGGGUUGUGAGCAGUUGUAGUGUCCUUCCUGUGCCAACUCAGCUGUAACAGAGGUAUCCCUGCAGGCCUGCAAGAGGACAACUGGUUACCUCUAAUGCUGGGGUGGGUGGUAGGAGGCCAGGAGAAUGCUUUGUGCUUCACAAUCUGAUGGGUCUUGCUCAGAACCCCAGACACUUGGCCUAUGCACCUAGAUUCCUUUGCUCCUGCAAACUAGUUUCUACAGGCUAGAAAAUCUUCACGUGUAACGAGGCAAUUAUAGAGGUAUUGCUUGAGCCCCUGCUGUGUCCUCAGCACUGUGGGAGAUACAGGGGUAAAUACACUGACCCUGGGAAGUUUAUUUUUCAUUAAAAGUCUGAUCCCUGCCUUACUGUUCUUAUUAUCUUAUCGCAGAAACAGUUUGUUCAUGCGUAAAAACAUUAAAGGCUAACGUGGUAGAUAA